rnacentral:rRNA from 1 species
UGGGGAAUUUUGGACAAUGGGGGCAACCCUGAUCCAGCCAUCCCGCGUGUGCGAUGAAGGCCUUCGGGUUGUAAAGCACUUUUGGCAGGGAAGAAACAGCCUGGGCUAAUAUCCCGGGCGACUGACGGUACCUGCAGAAUAAGCACCGGCUAACUACGUGCCAGCAGCCGCGGUAAUACGUAGGGUGCAAGCGUUAAUCGGAAUUACUGGGCGUAAAGCGUGCGCAGGCGGUUCGGAAAGAAAGGUGUGAAAUCCCAGGGCUUAACCUUGGAACUGCACUUUUAACUACCGGGCUAGAGUACGUCAGAGGGGGGUAGAAUUCCACGUGUAGCAGUGAAAUGCGUAGAGAUGUGGAGGAAUACCGAUGGCGAAGGCAGCUCCCUGGGAUGAUACUGACGCUCAUGCACGAAAGCGUGGGGA